UUACAGGUGAGACUCAUCUUAGACCCAGUCAACCUGAGCUGAGAAAGACAAAGAAUAGGGAAUAGCGGAAGAAAUUUACAUGGCUAAAGAGGACCAACGAUGAAAUUACUUUUAAAAGAACAGAGAAUGCUGGGAGCAGUGGCUCACACCUGUAAUCCCAGCACUUUGGGAGGCCAAGGCGGACGGAUCACGAGGUCAAGAGGUUCCUAAUAAUGCUGGACAACUUCCAGUUUGGAAAUGACCAACUCCCCGGGUGUUGUCUAAUCACAUUGUCCAAAUGCUACGACAACAACUUCUUGAGAAACAUCCACAAACUCAGGUGAUCUUACGCCUGAGUGAAGAAUAUAAUUGUUACUCUAAAAUGUAUUUGGCGUAUUGAAAUUAUAUGGUACUGCAAAAUAAAGCAUUCUCAGAAUGAUA
rnacentral:lncRNA from 1 species